rnacentral:rRNA from 1 species
UACGUAGGGCGCAAGCGUUGUCCGGAAUUAUUGGGCGUAAAGAGCUCGUAGGCGGCCUGUUACGUCUGCUGUGAAAUCCCGGGGCUUAACCCCGGGCGUGCAGUGGAUACGGGCAGGCUGGAGGCAGGCAGGGGAGAACGGAAUUCCCGGUGUAGCGGUGAAAUGCGCAGAUAUCGGGAGGAACACCGGUGGCGAAGGCGGGUCUCUGGGCCGAUACUGACGCUGAGGAGCGAAAGCGUGGGGAGCGAACAGG